CGUGGUUGUGGUAAUUUCUCAAUUAUUCUUCCCUUUUCCCAUUCUUUGUUAUGAAUAUUCUGCAUAUAUAUCUCCUCUCCAACUACAAAAUCUUCGGUGUUUUUAGAUACAUUACGAUCAUAGUAAAGUUUUUGAAUCGAUUGAUUCUUUGCCAUCUUGUCGAUUAUCUCAUUAGGUACAAUUUUUGGAUUCAAUGCGUAAUGUGGUAUAGGAAUCUUGGUUCUUAUAUGUCUGCUAUUAAGAAGCUGUGAAGGUGUAUAUCCCAAUCCAGCUACGGGAGCAU